rnacentral:rRNA from 1 species
UACGUAGGGUGCGAGCGUUAUUCGGAAUUACUGGGCGUACAGGGUGCGUAGACGGCUCAUUAAGUCAAUUGUUAAAUUUCUCGGCCUAACCGGGAACAUGCGGUUGAUACUGUUGAGCUAGAGGGUGGAAGAGAGAAGUGGAAUUCUCGGAGUAGCGGUAAAAUGCGUAGAUAUCGAGAGGAACACCAAUGGCGAAGGCAGCUUCUUAGUCCAUUCCUGACGUUGAUGCACGAAAGCGUGGGGAGCAAACAGG